UAAUUGCUGUGAUGAGUUAUGCACAUAGAAUUAGAAUGUUCAAGGGAUUCUAAUUCUAAGGGGAUGCGUUUUAAUUGACUAUCAUGUUCAAAACCCAGUAUCCUGCAUCAUAAUAAAAUGAUGUCAUAAUUGCAUUCAAUUCUCAUCAUAGGUUCUAACCUUUGUGUUGGAGUGCAAACAGAUUAGGCUACUCAUAAAGAAAGGACUUGAAGCAUACUGAUGAUCCUAAAUUAACUGUGAAAUGUGUGAAUUAUUCGCCAUUUCAUCUCUUGAAUAAUUGUCCACAUUCAAGACAGUCAUCAUGGACUGUUUCUGUUUUCCUGCUCCAAUGAGAGUACAAUACCUUACUAGGCAGCCCACCGAGUCUCAGAAAGUGGGUCUCUUCAGAGAGAAGGUGACUCUGAUGUGGGAGGCUAUCAAAGUCCUGAAGAGUGACCAGGAAGCCAUGAUGGCUCAGCUCAAAAAGAGCCAGAAGAAACAGCAGAAGGAUGAGGAGCUGUUGCAUAAAAGCCAAUGGAA